AAUUUAUAUAUUCUACAUGUUCAUUAUCAGAUGGAUAUUGAAACAGAAUGUGAAGAGACAGCGGGCUGCACAGAGACCGCUGAAGUGGAUCCUCUACCCAGGUUGCUCAGGGAGAUUGCUUGCUCUGCAGUGAGAGGUUCCCCUUUUAAGACCCUAGACUGAAUGGCUGGGACGAGCUCAGAAAUGACUGCCAUGCGUUGCUGCUAGGUUUUACUCAUUUAUUAUUUUAU
rnacentral:lncRNA from 1 species